AACGAACGCUGGCGGCAGGCUUAAGACAUGCAAGUCGAGCGCACCCUUCGGGGUGAGCGGCGGACGGGUGAGUAACGCGUGGGAACGUGCCUUUCUCUAAGGAAUAGCCUCUGGAAACGGAGAGUAAUACCUUAUACGCCCUUCGGGGGAAAGAUUUAUCGGAGAGAGAUCGGCCCGCGUUGGAUUAGGUAGUUGGUGGGGUAAUGGCCUACCAAGCCGACGAUCCAUAGCUGGUUUGAGAGGAUGAUCAGCCACACUGGGACUGAGACACGGCCCAGACUCCUACGGGAGGCAGCAGUGGGGAAUAUUGGACAAUGGGGGAAACCCUGAUCCAGCAACGCCGCGUGGAGGAUGAAUGCCUUCGGGUUGUAAACUCCUGUCAGGUGAACGAAAGCAGCGGUGAAUAACUGCUGUCUAUGACGGUACCACCAGAGGAAGCCCCCGGUAAACUCCGUGCCAG
rnacentral:rRNA from 1 species